rnacentral:rRNA from 1 species
AUUGAACGCUGGCGGCAGGCCUAACACAUGCAAGUCGAGCGAGGGGCGGACGGGUGAGUAAUGUCUGGGAAACUGCCUGAUGGAGGGGGAUAAAUACUGGAAACGGUAGCUAAUACCGCAUACUAUGAGAUGAGCCCAGAUGGGAGUAGCUAGUGGGUGGGGAAAGGGCUCACCUAGGCGACGAUCCCUAGCUGGUGUGAGAGGAGGACCAGCCACACCGGAACUGUGACACGGUCCAGACCCCUUCGGGAGGCAGCAGUGGGGAAUAUUGCACCAUGGGCGCAAGCCUGAUGCCGCCAUGCCGCGUGUGUGAAGAAGGCCUUCGGGUUGUAAAGCACUUUCAGCGGGGAGGCGUUACUCGCAGAAGAAGCACCGGCUAACUCCGUGCCAGCAGCCGCGGUAAUAC